GUUUGAUCCUGGCUCAGAGUGAACGCUGGCGGUGCGCCUAAAACAUGCAAGUCGAGCGCCCAGCACCUUGGGGAUGGAGUAUUACGUAUUAUGUAUCAAGUAUUAUGUAUGCGACCUCGGUCGUUAUACGUAAUACCUAAUACUCAAUACUUGAUACCCGUCAGUAAGGUGCUGGGAGCGGCGGACGGCUGCGUAACACGUGGAUACAUGCCCCGAACUCAGGGAUAACCUCGCGAAAGCGAGGCUAAUACCGGAUGGUCUCGUAAGAGUAAAGCUUUUGCGGUUCGGGAGUGGUCUGCGGCCUAUCAGCUAGUUGGUAAGGUAACGGCUUACCAAGGCUAUGACGGGUAGCUGGUCUGAGAGGACGACCAGCCAGAAUGGGACUGAGACACGGUCCAUACUCCUACGGGAGGCAGCAGUUAGGAAUCUUCCGCAAUGGGCGAAAGCCUGACGGAGCGACACCGCGUGAAGGAUGGAGCCCUUUUUGGGUGUAAACUUCUGUUUUGAGGGACGAAAUUUUUGACGGUACCUCAAGAGAAAGCACCGGCUAAUUCUGUGCCAGCAGCCGCGGUAAGACAGAAGGUGCAAGCGUUACUCGGAAUUACUGGGCGUAAAGCGUCUGUAGGUGUCCUGCCACGUCUGGCGUAAAAUUUCGGGGCCUAACCCCGAAUGCGUGCCGGAAACGAGCGGGAUCGAGUCAUUCAGAGGCAUCUGGAAUGUCGUGUGUAGGGGUAAAAUCCGUAGAUACACGAUGGAACACCGAUGGCGAAGGCAGCCCCCUGGGCUAACACUGACGCUCAUGCACGAAAGCGUGGGGAGCAAACAGGAUUAGAUACCCUGGUAGUCCACGCCCUAAACUAUGUCAACUGGUUGUCGGGGAAGCAAUUCCUUGGUAACGAAGCUAACGCGUGAAGUUGACCGCCUGGGGAGUACGGCCGCAAGGUUAAAACUCAAAGGAAUUGACGGGGACCCGCACAAGCGGUGGAUUAUGUGGAUUAAUUCGAUGCAACGCGAAAAACCUUACCUACCCUUGACAUGCCAGGAACCCUCCAGAGAUGGAGGGGUGCCCGAAAGGGAACCUGGACACAGGUGCUGCAUGGCUGUCGUCAGCUCGUGUCGUGAGAUGUUGGGUUAAGUCCCGCAACGAGCGCAACCCUUGCCAUUAGUUGCUACAUUCAGUUGAGCACUCUAAUGGGACUGCCGGUGACAAACCGGAGGAAGGUGGGGAUGACGUCAAGUCCUCAUGGCCCUUAUGGGUAGGGCUUCACACGUAAUACAAUGGCCGGUACAGAGGGCAGCCAACCCGCGAGGGGGAGCUAAUCCCAGAAAGCCGGUCGUAGUCCGGAUUGCAGUCUGCAACUCGACUGCAUGAAGCCGGAAUCGCUAGUAAUCGCGGAUCAGCAUGUCGCGGUGAAUACGUUCCCGGGUCUUGUACACACCGCCCGUCACACCAUGGGAGUGGGUUUCACCAGAAGUAGUUAGCCUAACCGCAAGGAGGGCGACUACCACGGUGAGAUUCAUGACUGGGGUGAAGUCGUAACAAGGUAACCGU
rnacentral:rRNA from 1 species